UACAACAUAGCGUUAAUGCACCGGAUCUCAUUAGAACUCUAUAGUUAAGAGAGCUCAAGUUAGAGUAGUACUUGGAUGGGUGACUGCUCAGGAAGUCAUAGUGUUUUAC
rnacentral:rRNA from 1 species